rnacentral:rRNA from 1 species
GAUGAACGCUGGCGGUAUGCUUAACACAUGCAAGUCGAACGGUCACUUCGGUGAUAGUGGCGGACGGGUGCGUAACGCGUGAGAAUCUGUCUUCAGGUCGGGGACAACAGUUAGAAAUGACUGCUAAUACCGGAUGUGCCUUUGGGUGAAAGAUUUAUUGCCUGAAAAAGAGCUCGCGUCAGAUUAGCUAGUAGGUGGUGUAAGAGACUACCUAGGCUCCGAUCUGUAGCUGGUCUGAGAGGACGAUCAGCCACACUGGAACUGAGACACGGUCCAGACUCCUACGGGAGGCAGCAGUGGGGAAUUUUCCGCAAUGGGCGAAAGCCUGACGGAGCAAUGCCGCGUGAGGGACGAAGACUUUUGGGUCGUAAACCUCUUUUCUCAAGGAAGAUGAUGACGGUACUUGAGGAAUAAGCACCGGCUAACUCUGUG